CACCAGCCACAACGGGACCACUGCCUUCAGCUCCUCGGGAUGUCGUGGCCUCCCUGGUCUCUACCCGCUUCAUCAAAUUGACGUGGCGGACACCUGCAUCAGAUCCUCAUGGAGACAACCUUACCUACUCUGUGUUCUACACCAAGGAAGGGAUUGCUAGGGAACGUGUUGAGAAUACCAGUCGCCCAGGAGAGAUGCAGGUAACCAUUCAAAACCUAAUGCCAGCGACCGUGUACAUCUUUAGAGUUAUGGCUCAAAAUAAGCAUGGCUCAGGAGAGAGUUCAGCUCCACUGCGAGUAGAAACACAACCUGAGGUUCAGCUCCCUGGCCCAGCACCUAACCUUCGUGCAUAUGCAGCUUCGCCUACCUCCAUCACUGUUACGUGGGAAACACCAGUGUCUGGCAAUGGGGAAAUUCAGAAUUAUAAAUUGUACUACAUGGAAAAGGGGACUGAUAAAGAACAGGAUGUUGAUGUUUCAAGCCUCUCUUACACCAUUAAUGGGUUGAAAAAAUAUACAGAGUA
rnacentral:sRNA from 1 species